GUUUAUUACCUGUUAUAUAUUUGUUGUCAUAAUAAAAGGAAUGCAUAAUUUUAGAUGCUUUCUUGUUUCAUUAUUAGUUACUGAAACAACUUUAAUGACAAGUGCCCCACAGUAGGUGCUGCUGAUUUAUGUAAUGAACCCAGAGGAGCUGUAUACUUUACUCAGCAAAAGUCAUCAACUAUCAACCAUCAACUACUUAGAGUGCCCCUAUGUUGUCUACAAUUGGCCAGACAGAGUAGUAUGUAUGAAAAACAAAGAAUCACAUCAGAAAAACAUCAGAUCCAGCAACACAGCAACACAGCCAUGGCAGAAAAUAACUGGAUUAUCAUGCUCACUUCUACAUAGGCCAGCAGAGAAGAUGGCUGCCAACAAAUACCAGAAGACACUGUGCAACGGAAUUACCUCCAGACACCAGCUUUACAACACAACCCUAAUAAAACGGACAUAGCAUUAGGUUAGCAGUAAACAAACACCGAGGAAAGAAGUGCUUUAUACUUCCACUUUCCUAAAUUAUAUUGCACCUUUGAUAAAUGCUUCAUUUCAUCUCACAAAUAGAAUGUAUUCAACUUCCACAUUUUUAUCCUGCCUGGGGUGGUUAUAAAGACUGUGUAAUCUGAAAAUGAAUUAAAGGGAAAGUCAAAACAACAACAAAACCUAACAAAUUUUAAGUUGUGUUCAAAGAUAAGUGCUACUAUACUUUAAUACAUGUGCACAAUACAGUACUUCACUCAUUUCAGUGGAGCCAGAUGAAAAGCAGCGUUUCUGCUUUGAGGGGUUUUUUUUUCUUUAAACUUGAUUUCAAUCCAAACUCAGUAAGUUUUAACAUUUCCCACAAACCAGAAGAGCCUUGGACUCUAAAACUGACAAAAAUGUUAGUUUCACUGGAUCAGAAUGUCAGUUUUGCUGAGCAGCUGCAGGAGCCUCCAGCAUCCUUCUGAAUCCCCAGCUUCAGAGGAAAUCUGAAAGAGGUGUUUGCCCAGGAGACCUGACCACCAAGCCAGUCCACCAGAAAUCUCACCAGAGUUCUAGCCAUGGAAUGGGAGGAAAGCCAUCAUAUUUGAGCAUUUUACAACUGGCUCUUAUUUGAACAAUGUAUUACAGCAUUGUAAAGAGCAUCAUCCACAUAAUAUUAACAGCAGACACAGCAAAUUGUGGUAGGAAGUUUCCCAAAAAAGCGUAGAAUGGGUAAGUCUUCUGACAAGCUGAGAAGACAGAAGACCAGGUGGCUGCUGUGCCCCAGCUUGUAUGUUCAAUGUAUAUAUUCGUCCCCAAGGACUGCAGCACAGUCCCUACACCAAAGACAAGAACAGAGGAGGAAAAAUAGAAUACAUUUUUUUCAGAUAUGAAACAUAUAUAGCAAAAUGUGUAUAAUGCAUUAUGUUUUACAGAAUUAUGCUGUAUGGAUAUGUGAAAAAUAUUUUUUUGCAAAGUAUUGAUAUGGUGAUAUUGCUUUUGCUGUUUUCAGUAAAGGAAUAAAGCUGA